GAUGAACGCUGGCGGCGUGCUUAACACAUGCAAGUCGAACGAUGAACCGGGUGCUUGCACUCGGGGAUUAGUUGCGAACGGGUGAGUAACACGUUAGCAACCUGCUCCUGACUCUGGGAUAAGCGCUGGAAACGGAGUCUAAUACUGGAUAUGUCCCGUCCCCGUCGGGUGUGCGGGUGGAAACAUUUUAUGGUUGGGAAUGGGCUCGCGGCCUAUCAGCUUGUUGGUGAGGUAAUGGCUCAGCAAGGCGUCGACGGAUAGCCGGCAUGAGAGGGUGACCGGCCACACUGGGACUGAGACACGGCCCAGACUCCUACGGGAGGCAGCAGUGGGGAAUAUUGCACAAUGGGCGGAAGCCUGAUACAGCAACGCCGCGUGAGGGAUGACGGCCUUCGGGUUGUAAACCUCUUUUAGAAGGGAAGAAGCGAGAGUGACGGUACCUGCAGAAAAAGCACCGGCUAACUACGUGCCAGCAGCCGCCGUAA
rnacentral:rRNA from 1 species